GAUGAACGCUGGCGGCGUGCCUAAUACAUGCAAGUCGAGCGAACAGACGAGGAGCUUGCUCCUCUGACGUUAGCGGCGGACGGGUGAGUAACACGUGGAUAACCUACCUAUAAGACUGGGAUAACUUCGGGAAACCGGAGCUAAUACCGGAUAAUAUAUUGAACCGCAUGGUUCAAUAGUGAAAGACGGUUUUGCUGUCACUUAUAGAUGGAUCCGCGCGGCAUUCGCUAGUUGGUAAGGUAACGGCUUACCAAGGCAACGAUGCGUAGCCGACCUGAGAGGGUGAUCGGCCACACUGGAACUGAGACACGGUCCAGACUCCUACGGGGGGCCGCAGUAGGGAAUCUUCCGCAAUGGGCGAAAGCCUGACGGAGCAACGCCGCGUGAGUGAUGAAGGUCUUCGGAUCGUAAAACUCUGUUAUUAGGGAAGAACAAAUGUGUAAGUAACUAUGCACGUCUUGACGGUACCUAAUCAGAAAGCCACGGCUAACUACGUG
rnacentral:rRNA from 1 species